GAUGAACGCUGGCGGCGUGCUUAACACAUGCAAGUCGAACGAUGAAGCCCAGCUUGCUGGGUGGAUUAGUGGCGAACGGGUGAGUAACACGUGAGUAACCUGCCCUUGACUCUGGGAUAAGCCUGGGAAACUGGGUCUAAUACUGGAUAUGACUUCUCAUCGCAUGGUGGGGGGUGGAAAGAUUUAUUGGUCUUGGAUGGACUCGCGGCCUAUCAGCUUGUUGGUGAGGUAAUGGCUCACCAAGGCGACGACGGGUAGCCGGCCUGAGAGGGUGACCGGCCACGCUGGGACUGAGACACGGCCCAGACUCCUACGGGAGGCAGCAGUGGGGAAUAUUGCACAAUGGGCGCAAGCCGGAUGCAGCGACGCCGCGUGAGGGAUGACGGCCUUCGGGUUGUAAACCUCUUUCAGUAGGGAAGAAGCGAGAGUGACGGUACCUGCAGAAGAAGCGCCGGCUAACUACGU
rnacentral:rRNA from 1 species